GAUUCCAACGGAUAUUUUAUCGCCACGAUUGCCAUAAUCGUUGCAAUAGAAUUACUAUAGCAACGCUUUAAUGGGGGGAAAAAGCUAUUACAACACUUUAUUUAUUCAUUCCACCAAAAUAAACCCUUUUUUAUAUAAUAAAAUCCUUUACAUCCACCAUAGCAACACACCCAUGUCGUUUUAGUCCUCCCCUUCUUGUUAUUCCCAUUCCCUACUUCAUAAACCCUACCAUUUGAAGCGCUGGAGUAAUAUGUAGUCGAUUUAUUUGAAUAUUUUCAACAUUUUCGGUGGUCCAUCCUUGUACGGAGUCACUGCCACUGCUACUGCUCUGACCAAAAAUUCACUAGUUAAGUCAGCUUGUUCAUAAACUGCCACUGCUGGAGGAUCGAUCUUGUUGGUUAUGUUAGAAAUACAUUGGUUAACUCGGCUAUUUCUGUUACUGGUUAACUAAGCUUGUUCAAUCCCUUUUCCAACUCGAAACACUGAAGAAGUUGGAAAGUGCGACCACCAUACCUCGCUGCUCCAACUUCAGCUCCUCCACUGCUCCGACAACCACUUCAAUUUCUGAAAAAAAUUGGUUUUUCUUCUAAGGUUAAUUAAUUCUUCUAAUUGACGAUUUUAACCUAAUUUUUUGAGUUUCUAUUUUGGGUUUUUCUUCUCCUUCACUUUGAUUGCUGAUUGAACAUUUGGGAAUGGGUUUAUUUUGGGUUUAAAGUUACCGAUAAUGCAUUUCCUUGUUUCUGCUCGUAUUCUGCUAAAUAGAUGUAAACUAACAACGAGUACUUGUCUAUUCAUAACAUUAUUGAUAAUAAUGUUCAUGAAAGAUAGAAUAAUUUAGGAUAUUAUUCAUGGAAGGCUCUUGCAAAGAAGCAGGAACUUGAAUCCGCAAAGAAGAAUAAUGUUGAGAACCAGAAGUUGAUCUACAACAGGGCAAAGCUGUAUGCAAGAGAGUACGAGCAGCACGUACUAUUGAACUCCAUAAUUUUUGGAUAACAUGCUUGUUUGAUGUUAAGCUUGGUUAUAAGUUUUCAAAUUCCUUUUUUUGGGACAAGGAGUUGAUUCAUUUGAAACGUGAGGCUAGAUUGAAAGGUGGUUUCUAUGUGGAUCCUGAGGCAAAGUUGUUGUUUAUCAUCAAGAUGCGCGGGAAUUAAUGCUAUGGACUCGAAGGCCAAAAAGAUUUUGCAGCUACUACGUUUGCGACAGAUCAUUAAUGGGGUCUUUUUGAAAGUUAGCAAAGCCACAGUGAACAUGUUUUAUAGGGUUGAACCAGACGUUACCUAUGGGAAAUCAAAACAAGGAUUCCUGAUAAAAUAUCAUGGGACUACAAUUUUGAACCUGCUGGAAGCACUCCUCUCAGCUUUACUAUGAAGGUAUUGGAUUAAUUUCCAUUGGUUGAACUUCUACUCUGCAAAAAGUACAGAGCAACUUCUGUUUCAGAUGGAUGUUGUUGUUGUUUGUGCUAUUCAUAGUUUGCUGUUGGAAGAAGCAACAUGUGUACUGCUAUUUUUUUCGAGGGUCUAUCAGAAGUAGGACUAAGAUUUGCGUACACUAUGCUAUCUAAGAACUCCUCGCGAUUUCACUGGAUUGUGUUCACCGAAUGAAAGAUCUAGCUAUGAGACAGAUUCAAAUGUUGAUCUACAAGAAGAAAUGAGAAACCGAAUGAAAGAUCUAGCUAUGAGACAAGUUUUGCUUCAGCCCUUUAAUGUUGAAAUAGUAUUUGCCCUCUGUUCUGUAUUUUCAUAUUUGAUGUAUAUUAGGGGAUUCAUUGACAUUGUUUUCUUGGUAAUUGUAUGUUUUUUAGAAUUUCCAAUACCAUUAAUAAAGAUCCAAUAUUGGUAUUUCCCCAGUGUUCCCACGA